CACACAUCUGGCAUGUGGCUUAGCUGGUGCUCAAAAGCCUGUCUGUCUAACUCAAAAGUCUGCAUUCUUUCCACUCUACCUAUGAUCUUAUGAAAAGAAUAUGCCAAUAAAACAUGAACUCGGGUAGCUGUUGCUCUGCUGUCUGUUUAUGGCUGUGAAUUGGAACUUCACGGACUCUCUCAUCCCCAGUCCACGCAAUCCAUACUUCGUGAUGACUAAUUAUGCUCCAGGAAUAGGCAGAGAUUCAGGCUACAAAAAGUGGCAGAAGUCAAAUCUGGUGAUCUCAAAGCUCACUCUGUGCAGAAUCUCUGAGAAGUCUAAUAUAAACUGAAUGAGGAUGAUGUGCAGACCAGGCCUGGGCCACAGACACUGGGCAUAUGUGUUGGAUUCUCAAUUCAGGACUGAGGAAAAUCAAACACAAAGAUGAUAUAUAUGGAGCUUCGCUCUUGUUCCCCAAGCUGAAGUGCACUGGCAUGAUCUCAGCUCACCGCAACCUCUGCCUCCUGGGUUCAAGUGAGUCUCCUGCCUCAGCCUCCCGAGUAGCUGGGAUUACAGGCGCCCG
rnacentral:lncRNA from 10 species